UACGUAGGGUGCAAGCGUUAAUCGGAAUUACUGGGCGUAAAGCGUGCGCAGGCGGUGAUGUAAGACAGAUGUGAAAUCCCCGGGCUCAACCUGGGAACUGCAUUUGUGACUGCAUGGCUAGAGUUUGGCAGAGGGGGGUAGAAUUCCACGUGUAGCAGUGAAAUGCGUAGAUAUGUGGAGGAACACCGAUGGCGAAGGCAGCCCCCUGGGUCAAGACUGACGCUCAUGCACGAAAGCGUGGGGAGCAAACAGG
rnacentral:rRNA from 1 species